CUGCACGGGUCUUCCCGGCCCCGGCCCAGCUGCCCGGCCCCAUCUAUGAGAAGUGCAUGGCACCACCUUCUGCCAGCUGCUUGGGGGAUGCCCAGUUGGAGGGCCCGACGGGGGACAACGAGUUGGAGCUGGAGCCGGGGACCUCAGCCCAGGAGGAGGGUGAGGGUGGGGAAGGACAGCCCCACAGGGUCCCUGGCCAGGGCGUCUAUGCCACCCCCCCCACCUCACUUGCAUCUCUUCUCCCCAGACCUGGAGGGUGUCGUGGAGGCCGUGGCUUGCUUUGCCUACACAGGC
rnacentral:lncRNA from 1 species